rnacentral:rRNA from 1 species
UACGUAGGCAGCGAGCGUUGUUCGGAAUUACUGGGCGUAAAGAGUGUGUAGGCGGUGUUCCCAGUCUGUUGUGAAAUCUCCCGGCUUAACUGGGAGGGUGCAGCGGAAACUAGAAUGCUAGAGGGUGGGAGAGGUAAGCGGAAUUCCAGGUGGAGUGGUGAAAUGCGUAGAGAUCUGGAAGAACACCAAAGGCGAAGGCAGCAUCCUGGGAAGUUCCUGACGCUCGGGUGCGAAAGCCAGGGGAGCGAACGGG